AUGACAUGAUCUAUUUGUGUCUGCAGAGGCUUCUGGUGCAGAAAACUCUGAUGAAACAUGUGAAAGUUUUGCUUUUGCAUUAGUCAAUGGUGCUCUUGGUGUGUUUGAAGUGCACGGGCGGCGAAUACGAGAUUUUAGGCCAAAGUGGCCCUCAUCAUCAUUUGCAUCUUCAGAUGGUUUGGUUACUGCUAUGGCUUAUCGCCUUCCCCAUGUUGUAAUGGGGGAUCGAUCAGGCAACAUUAGAUGGUGGGAUGUUACAACAGGCCUUUCUUCUUCUUUUAGCACUCACAGGGAAGGCAUCAGGUGGAUAAAGUUUUCUCCUGUUGUUCAUGGUGAUCGAAGUAGAGGGCGCAUCGCUGUGCUUUUCUAUGAUAAUACAUUUUCAAUAUUUGACCUGGAUAGUCCAGACCCCUUGGCAAAUGCCCUUCUUCAACCGCAAUCUCCUGGUACCCUUGUCUUGGAGCUUGAUUGGUUGUCAACCCGAACAAGGAAGGAUGAGCCACUUAGGUUAUGCAUUACCGGAGCUGAUAGUAGCUUCCGACUGAUUGAGGUUAACAUGUAUGUCAUUUUAAUCAUGCAUGUAAUAGUUCUAAUUCCAGUGUAGAGUUACUCUUUUUAUUGUUUAGAUUUAAAUAUGUUUCUGUACUAGAACUCUAUUUGAUAUCUAUAAAUGAAACUUGACCUGUUAAGGUGAGUUAUUAUUUAUUAAUGCAUCUAUAAGGCAAUCACCUCCUGCAGCAUGCUUAUGAGCUCAGAGAAGGAAUAA